rnacentral:rRNA from 1 species
AUACGGAGGAUCCGAGCGUUAUCCGGAUUUAUUGGGUUUAAAGGGUGCGCAGGCGGCCAUUUAAGUCAGCGGUUAAAUCGUGGGGCUCAACCCCAUUCUGCCGUUGAUACUGGGUGGCUUGAUUGCGGUCGAGGUUGGCGGAAUUCGUUGUGUAGCGGUGAAAUGCAUAGAUAUGACGAAGAACACCGAUUGCGUAGGCAGCUGACCAGACCGCAAAUGACGCUCAUGCGCGAAAGUGCGGGGAUCGAACAGGAUUAGAUACCCUGGUAGUCCGCACAGUAAACGAUGAAUACUUGUUUUCGGCGAUAUAAUGUCGGAGGCAAAGCGAAAGCGAUAAGUAUUCCACCUGGGGAGUACGCCGGCAACGGUGAAACUCAAAGGAAUUGGCGGG